UACAGAGGGCGCGAGCGUUAAUCGGAAUUAUUGGGCGUAAAGCGCGCGCAGGCGGUCCUUUAAGUCUGAUGUGAAAGCCCACGGCUCAACCGUGGAGGGUCAUUGGAAACUGGGGGACUUGAGUGCAGGAGAGAAGAGUGGAAUUCCACGUGUAGCGGUGAAAUGCGUAGAGAUGUGGAGGAACACCAGUGGCGAAGGCGACUCUUUGGCCUGUAACUGACGCUGAGGCGCGAAAGCGUGGGGAGCAAACAGG
rnacentral:rRNA from 1 species